rnacentral:misc_RNA from 1 species
AACGCACAUUGCGCUCGAGGCUUCGGCCAAGAGCAUGUCUGCCUCAGCGUCGGGUUAAUAUCACCACCUAACUACACUGUGGUUAGCUGUCGGUGGAUCUGGCCGUUCCAGCGAAAGGCGGUAUUGGUGGCUCAUCUUAACCGAUGGACCAUCGAUGCCAGUAGUCCUGCUGGAUCAGCUGAAGUUCAGAGGCUAACUAAGGACCCGUAUACAUGGGCCGCAACUGGGUAGGUGGUGGCUGUCUCUUUAGAGGCGAGAGACUGGCUGUCAACAAACGCUUAGUUGUUGGUCUGGGGACUUAUUCGUUGGGCCCUCAACCAGGAAAUGAUUAACCCAUCUCUUAUUAUCUCGACCUGAGCUCAGGCAAGAACACCCGCUGAACUUAA